UAGAGUUUGAUCAUGGCUCAGGAUGAACGCUAGCGACAGGCUUAACACAUGCAAGUCGAGGGGCAGCGGGGAGGUAGCAAUACUUCCGCCGGCGACCGGCGCACGGGUGAGUAACACGUAUGGAACCUGCCCGUAGCAGGGGGAUAAACGGAAGAAAUUCCGUCUAAUACCGCGUAAUAACUCCGAGAGGCAUCUCAUGGAGUUUAAAGGGUAACACCGGCUACGGAUGGCCAUGCGGCGCAUUAGCUAGUUGGCGGGGUAACGGCCCACCAAGGCGACGAUGCGUAGGGGUUCUGAGAGGAAGGUCCCCCACACUGGUACUGAGACACGGACCAGACUCCUACGGGAGGCAGCAGUGAGGAAUAUUGGUCAAUGGGCGCGAGCCUGAACCAGCCAAGUCGCGUGAGGGAAGACGGUCCUAUGGAUUGUAAACCUCUUUUGUCGGGGAGCAAAAGACGCCACGUGUGGCGUUCCGAGAGUACCCGAAGAAAAAGCAUCGGCUAACUCCGUGCCAGCAGCCGCGGUAAUACGGAGGAUGCGAGCGUUAUCCGGAUUUAUUGGGUUUAAAGGGUGCGCAGGCGGAAGAUCAAGUCAGCGGUAAAAUUGAGAGGCUCAACCUCUUCGAGCCGUUGAAACUGGUUUUCUUGAGUGAGCGAGAAGUAUGCGGAAUGCGUGGUGUAGCGGUGAAAUGCAUAGAUAUCACGCAGAACUCCGAUUGCGAAGGCAGCAUACCGGCGCUCAACUGACGCUCAUGCACGAAAGUGUGGGUAUCGAACAGGAUUAGAUACCCUGGUAGUCCACACAGUAAACGAUGAAUACUAAUUGUUCGGGGAGAAUGAUCCCUGAGUGAUACAGCGAAAGCGUUAAGUAUUCCACCUGGGGAGUACGCCGGCAACGGUGAAGCUCAAAGGAAUUGACGGGGGCCCGCACAAGCGGAGGAACAUGUGGUUUAAUUCGAUGAUACGCGAGGAACCUUACCCGGGCUCAAACGACACAGGAAUACUUUUGAAAGGAGGUAGCUCUACGGAGUCUGUGUCGAGGUGCUGCAUGGUUGUCGUCAGCUCGUGCCGUGAGGUGUCGGCUUAAGUGCCAUAACGAGCGCAACCCCCAUCGCCAGUUACCAGCAAGUCAAGUUGGGGACUCUGGCGAGACUGCCGGCGCAAGCUGUGAGGAAGGCGGGGAUGACGUCAAAUCAGCACGGCCCUUACGUCCGGGGCGACACACGUGUUACAAUGGCAGGUACAGAGAGAAGCAAUGCGGCGACGCAAAGCGGAACUUGAAAGCCUGUCUCAGUUCGGAUUGGAGUCUGCAACUCGACUCCAUGAAGCUGGAUUCGCUAGUAAUCGCGCAUCAGCCAUGGCGCGGUGAAUACGUUCCCGGGCCUUGUACACACCGCCCGUCAAGCCAUGGAAGCCGGGAGUGCCUGAAGUGUGCAACCGCAAGGAGCGCCCUAAGGUAAAACUGGUGACUGGGGCUAAGUCGUAACAAGGUAACCGUA
rnacentral:rRNA from 1 species